GACUGAAUUUAGUUAGAAAUUAUUACAUUAUUAUGUAUUAACAUUUAUUAGGACUCCCCAUAUACUAGAGGUUGUGAUAGGCUCUUUACAUGCGUCAACUGUGAUUUGCUUUAUUAUUCCUGUUUUUCAGGUGAGGAAACUUCAAGACCUAGGAAGGUUUAAUAAAUUGACCAAGAUCACCUGGCUAUUAAGUAGUAGGGUUUGUAUUUGUUCCCAAGUUCUAGUUAAAUUUUAAAUUAGGUUAGUACAUAUUGUUAAAUUUAUUGUCAUUAUUUAAAACUCAAAUAUUUUGUGACAGUAUUUUAAAAAUCAGACUUGGCUAAUGCUUGGUUCUGUGCGGGUAGGAGAAAUGUAGUUGAUUAUUCGUCUAUUUGCAUUUAUCUAGUACCCCCUAGGUACUGUGGUUUUUUACCUUGGAUUUGCAAUAUGGUAGGCAGAGAAAUGCAUGGCUGGAUUUUUAUGUACGUAACUGUUGCAACAGGAUGUUGAUCACCACUACUUUUUCUCUUUGCUGUUUCAUCCCUAGAGUGUUGUCUUACCUCAGUUUGUUCAGUGACAGAGAAGGAAAAGAGGAAAGAGCGAAGUCUCUGGAGGAUAGAUAGCUCUACUGUUGUAUGACUUGUUUUGGACUUGAGCUCCCAGUGCCUUUAGCAUGUACAGCCUGCUUUUGUUCAGAAUGUUGUGGGGUGGGCAGUGCUCUCUUUACUGUAGGCUGAAGUGAUUGUCCUGGUUACAGAAUGCAGGGAGAUUAAGCUGAUCUCUUAACUGUUCUAGACGGAGUUAAUUUUAGAAGAAUGUUGUAGUAAACUGUAGCAUUGGGUUAGUGUGGAAAAAUUUAAAUGAGUAAAAAUAGUUUGACCUCAGUGCUUUUGCUUUUUAGUGAAGUUUCUGAUAUACUGUUAACAAGUUUCAAGAUGAAACAUUUAAGUAAAGGCAAUAAAUACCCUAUCUGAAAUAUGAAAUGAUUUAUAUUUUCUUAUAUUGUAUCUCAAGCUCUAAUUUUGAAGACUUUCAUUUAGUAUAUCUUUAUUUUUUGAUGAAGUGGCAAUUUGUUUAUUGCUUUCAAAUAAUAAAGUAACUGACCUCCUUAAUAUGGAGUUAGAAAUAUAAGCUGUGUUUCUAAAGCAAAAAGUUGCUUUAGUGAGUUUUCUGUGUGCCAGCUCUUCUCUUUCAGGUCUUCUUACUGAAGCUAAACAUCAGUUCAGUUGACAACUUUACUCAAUUCUAGGCAACAGUGGCCAUGCUCUGGCCUGCAGAGACAGUGAAUCCAUUCUGGCUCUGACACCCAAUUUUAUUGUAAAACACAUUCAUGUUGACAUCAUAUCAGUUUUCUGAACUAUUACAUGCAUAAAAGAAUUCACCUCUCUCCAUUCAGUCUUUUUCAGCCGUCCUGUAAGGAGAAAUUCACACACCUAGUGUUUUCAUUUUGCAUUUCAUGUGGUCUAGACCAGAAAAUAGCAGCUUCAGUUUUAAAAAAUGUGUGUUUUUGGAGGCACUGAGCAGAGUGUAUUAGCUUAAUGGUGUUCAUUGAUAGGAAGGAGAAGACUAAAGGGAAAUGCACAAGGCAGUUUUUAGGCCAGAGCAGUAGGGAGUGUAGGGUAAAACAGGUCAAUAUUGACCCAAGAUUAUGGAGACAAGUCGCUAGAGUUCUUUUGCAUGCAACUUUCAUUUUUUUAAAAAAAUGUUUUAUUGACUUUUUAGAGAGAGAGGGAGGGAGAGGGAUAGAGAGAUAACAAAAUCAAUGAUAGACACCGAUCGACUGACUCUUGCACGCCUCCUUCUGGGAAUUAAGCCUGCAACCUGGGUUUGUCCCCUGACCGGGAAUGGAACCAGGGACCUCUUGGUCAACACUCAACCACAUAGGCCGGGCACAACUUCUGUUUGAAGACUUGCUUGCUUUUUGUGCUCAUCCAUGCCCAAUUUUGUGGGCUUUGCCUCAGACUUCCUUUCUUAAUUGUAUUGUUUUGUGAAGGUCUUUUUAAAUUGCUGAUUUUUUUGUUUGCUUGGUUUACUUGUAUUAGAACUUGUGAGUUUUGCAUUUAGAAUUUGCUUAAAAUAUGACCCAAAUUUUCACCUUUAUUUUAGGGGGGAAGUAGUCUUUCUUGUGUAAAAAUUCAGCCCUUCCAUUUUUCUGUCAAUUCUAGCAUUGUACUGAGUUUUACUGAGACUAUCCCUUGGCUUUCAUGAUAAAGAAAUUCCACCUUUUCACUUUUAAUGGUGCUUGAUUUGAUUGGGAACAAUAAUAAAAUAUUAAGAUAUCUUCUUUUCCAUUUUCUCUGUUUAGUGAAUACAGACUUCCCUAAAAUAUCUUAAGCCUAGUUGGAAAAUGUAAUAAGCCUUUCCUUGUUAUUUGGUUGUACUGUUCAGAGAUUGUUCAUUGGGAAUUUCAUUUACCCAUAAGAGACUGAUAUUCUAACAUGGAGUGAUUACAAAUGUUGUUUAUAAACCAAUAUCAGGAAUGUCUCCAUGAGGUUACUUAAAUAUGAGUGUGUAAUUUACAUGAGAUUUUAAAAGGAGUUGUUCUCAAGCCUUUCGAUGUAUAUGCUAAUUAAUUCUUAACUAUAUUAUUUUGGGUCUGGUGUGAUCAUAUGGAGCACAUGGAGAAUUUUAAAAAGGCUUUUUCUAUUAUCUGUAUUUCCUAAACAUUAUGGGCAGAAUAAGGUUGGAAUAGAAAGAGAAAAUUGCAAACAUACCCUGACUUUCUACCGUCUGGAUGCACAUUAUCUUUAUCUUUAUUUAUUAAUAAAAGACGGAAUGCCUUGGAAAACAAAAGGUUUUAAUGGCCGGUGCUUGGUAUCCUUGACAACAGUCCCGAAAGAAUAUUACAUUAGGGCACCAGAGAACUUUUAAAAAUAAGUAAUGGAAUUCCGUCUCUGUUAUGCUUUUAGUAGUCAUUUCGGCCAUGGUGCAGCGAGGUCAUAAGCUGAGCUCAGUGAAGGGAGCCAGAACAUGAAAUGAUGCUGAGAGAACGUCUGGGAGAUGAGAGAUCACAUUGAACUUGAUGUGUUUUAACACUGGCAACAAGCUUUAUAAGUGAUUAUUUUACCUACCAGAAUGCUAGCAUUAAAAAAAAAAAAUUUUAGUGUCUAAGAACAAAACAAAACAAAAAAUCAAGAAGAAGGCCUAGGUAUACAUAUUUUGAGAUAUUUAUAAUGGAUUCAUCACAUUAUCUUCUCAGGCAUUAAAAUAUACCAUAUAGAAUGUCAAAAUAUUAACAGAAUGUAAGCUAGCAUUUCUCUGAGUGGGUAUUUUGGUUCUGAAAAGUAUGCUUAAAUAUUACAGGUGUUUAAAUUAAAAAUGUCAAACCAUGAAGGCAUAAUGGAAGUAAUCAUUUUUACACAGUUUUAAGCAGUACAGGGUUUGAAAAAGCUUUGCAUGCCAGACUAUUGUGAAUGAGUGGAGUUCAUAAGAAUUCAAAGGACAAAAGAGAUCAUUAUGCUUUGUUACCUCAGCUAGUUCAUUACCUUAAUUGCUGAGUGUAAUCCAGUCUUCCAAGAAAACUCUGGGGCUUUAAGAAGAUCAACAACGGCACCUUAUGGCACAGAAAAUGGAAACCCUUUCCUGUACCAUUGCUGCUCCAGGAACACUAAACCUUGAUCAAAGGCUGAACUUUUCUUAAGGUCGGCCAUGUGAACAUCCCCUGGAGCUGUACCAUUCGCUGAACCGUAAUGAAGUUUAGUAGAUUCAGCACCAUUUCUCUCUGACUGUGACCGUCCUGGAUCACUGGCUAGCAAUAGCAUAUUAUCAGCCUUUCAGAUAGGUGAGGGUUUAAACAUGGUUAUGGUUAGUAGUAUAAUAUGCUUUAAAAAAAAAAAUCAAAACUGCUUCUUGCGUAUUACAGGAACUGAAGAAACUACCCUGUAUUACUGUGUAAAUAACUUUAGUUAAGAAUCAGGACCUGGUGGUUUUUAUUUUAGUCCUUUGAAAGAGAUUGCUUGCUAUGUUGUUUGUACCUAAAUCUUUUCAGAAAACCUUGGAAAUUCCCUAACUGUGUGUGCUUUUCCAGAAAGUCCUUUACUAUGUAAUGUGAAUGCAGCUGUGAAAUGGUUCAGACUCAUCUGAAGCAUUUUUCCUUAUAUUUUUUCCCACCUAGGCAACAACUUAACUUGGCUUUUGAGGGUAGUUUUUCCUUAUGGAAUGUGUACAGUUGUAUAUGUUAAGCUUUGAAAAAAUACGCUAAAACAAAAAAUAUGACCUUUAAAAGCAUGGUUGAGUUGCAUUCAUUUUAUAACCAUCAAAGCAAUUCUGUACUGUUGUAAGGUAGAAAAAUCAAUGAUGCAAUCUUUUUCCUUUUGCCUCGUGCAAUCCGUAAUUGAAAUGGAAAAUCAAAUGAACGGCUAACAGAUAAUUGUUUUAUCAAUAUUCCCUGCCUGCCCUACAAGGGUCAGCAUAGAAUGAUCAUGAGCCAGGGAUAUGAUGAGGACAAAAUGUGAAAUUGAACAGCAAGGAGGCAAUAAAUCAGCCUUGACAAGAAAGAGUGACCAGCAUGUAGCUGUUGUAGGCAGCUUUGGGGACAGUUUUUGUCUCAGGUGUCUGCCCUGAUUUAAAAAUAUUUCAAGAAGAUUUAUUUAUGUGAACUGAAUAUGUCAUUUGAGGAGGGAGGAUCCAAACAAAAAAAAGAAUCACUUAUUCAUAAUUUCUUUUAUUUUUCUUUAUUUUUUCAAUACCUAGAAAUAAUUAUAUAUGUAACAGAGAAACACUGUUAUAAAUACUUCAUAGUACCAUGUAAUGUGUAGGAUUGUGGGACAAGUGUUAUUGCUCAUGUCGUAUUAAAACUAGACAUUGCCCAAUUAUGCUUGUUAAGUUUAUUAACAUAAGACAUUUAUAUUGGUGAACAUAAGGGUAAUGCACAGCACUAUAUACACUGCUUGUAGUAUAUAGUGUAAGCUGGCACAUUUUCAGGUCAUUUUAGGAACAUAUUUUGAAAGCCUUAGAAAGAUUUAUUCUCAAAUAUUUUACUUUAAGGAGUUAAUUCUAAGGAAAUAGACACAUACAUAAAGAUGUACGUGAAAAGAUGGUCACCACAGCAACAUUUCUCCCUCCUUUUAAAUUUUUAUUAAGGUGAAUUUUGAGCCAUGCUGUAGAAAAUAGAAUAGUAGAACACCAAACAUCAAACUUGACCAAUUCAUGGCCAGCCAUGUUCGAUUCUCACCUCUAUUUCUCCCUCAAAUAUUUUUUUGAAGUAAAUCCAAGACAUGUUAUAUUACUUCUAAAUAUUUUGGUAUAUUCCGCUGAGAAAUUAGGACUCUUAAAAAAGAAUGUGUCACUAUACUAUUGUUACACCAAAAUUAACAGCAAUUCUUUAAUGUCAUCAUAUAUUCAUACGGUUUGUUUAAAUUGGAAUGCAUAUAGUCUACCCAUUGCAAUUGGUUGAAGUAUCUUUUUAAAGUGUUUUGUUAAUUUAAAACUUCUUUCCCAUUUUUAUUUUUCCUUGUACUUUUUUAUUGAAAACAAAACAGGGUUGUUGGUCCCUUAAUUCCCAGUCUAGAUUUUGCUGAUUACAUCCCUAUAGUAUAGUUUAACAUGUCCUCUGUUCUUUGUAUUUCUGCAAGUUGACAGUUGGAUCUAUAGGUUUAAUCAUAUUUUGGUUUAAAAUGUUUCCCCUGCAGGAUUGUUUCAUAGAUUGUGUAUGUUCUUAUAUCAGGUGGCACAUGUGUACUUUUCUUUAUUUUUUUGUGAUAUUGGCAGUUAAGUGAUUCUCAAUGCCUAUAUCUGUUAGUUUAUUUGGGAUUGCAAAAUGGAGAUAUUCUGAUCCUGUUAUUUCUUUUUCAUAUGUUAGUCGGAAUCAUCUGUGAGGAAGAACUUUCCUAUAUCUACUAUUUAAUUAUUUAGUGGUUUAGUUUGCAGCAUUAUUUCUUAUAGGACAAAAUUGUAGACAAUGAAAAUAUGUGACAACAGGUGAUAUGGAUAAAUUAUUCUAUAGUCAUAUAGAAAUUCCAUAUAAUUAUCUUAAAUCAUGUUUUAGAAGAUUAGAAGAAUUCCUAACUAUGGGAAAUAUUUAAUAUAGUAAAUUUAUGAAGCAGUUUUUUAAAUAGUAGUAUACCAUCCUAUAUAAUAAAAGCCUAAUAUGCAAAUAGACCAAAUGGCGAAACGACCGGUGGAACAACUGGUUGCUAUGAUGCACACUGACCACCAGGGGGCAGACACUCAACGCAGGAACUGCCCCCAGCCUGCAGGCCCCAGGCCAGCCAAGGCGAGUGCCAGUGGGGACCCCCCUGAUCACCCUGCUGGUCACCUUGCAGAGGGAGGCAACUCAUGGCAGUGGUGAGGGGCAGGGCUGGCGAGUGGGCGGUGCCAGACCAGCCAAGGCGGGUGCCAACGGUGACCCCCCCCCCCGGUUACCCCACAGAUUGGCCCUGAUUGCCGGCUAGGCCUAGGGACCCUACUUGUGAACUAAUUUCAUGCACCGGGUCUCUAGUAUUUUUAGAUUUUCCCCAAGUUCUUUCAUGUGGGGCAAAAAAUUGCUGAGAGAAUAAAGACCAAAUAUUUACUUUAUAUAAUGGAUGUGUGUGUGUGUGUGUGUGUGUGUGUGUGUGUGUGUGUAUAUAUUACCCCUCAGUGAUGGAAAUAGGAUUCUUUAUGUUUUCUUCUUUAUAUUUUUUAGGUUUUCAAUAAAGAUCAUAUAUUAAUUUUACAGUAGCUUUUCUUACCAUUUAUUCAGAUGAGCAAAGCACAGUACAGGGCCUGGCAGACAGCAGCGUUAGUAAAUAAGUUGACUUGAACAGGUGCUAGGGUAGGCUGCCCUGAUGUCAUUGCUAGACCUAACAUGUUGAUUGUUCAUGCCCAGUUCAUUGUUGCUCCUUUAUCCUGCAUAACUUACCUUAAGUGAAAUAUUCCCACCUCUGCUUUAGAGAGCUAAUGACCUCUAGUUUGUAAUUUGUGGACUUUACUUAGGGUAGAGUGUUUAGAAUAUCUCUCAUUGGCUAAUGAACAAUGAUCAGUCUUUCUGGAUUAGCAUGUCAUUCAUCUGAAACCACCUCAUUAUGUCAUCUCUUAAUUCCAUAUUUUGUUAUUUUUAUCUUGUUCUAAAUUAUUUUAAUUUUUCGUAUCUAGGGGGAAAUUAUUGUCUAUGUGGUUUAUUUAGAAACUUGAUCAUAUCUGGUUUCAUGUAUGUUAUUAUUUUGUCUUCUCAUGAAGACAGCAAAUGUAUCUUAUACUACUUAGGUUUAUUUUCCUCAGUACCUAGCACUGUGCUUGUUCCGAUGGUAGAUGCUUAAUAAAUAGUUGUUGAAUUAAUUACAGUAUUGUUGUUCAAUUAUUGGUAUAAAGAUUAACUUUGUUGUGGUCAGUAAUUUUUAGGAUGGGAGAGAUGGGAGAAAAUAGUCUUUUCUAGCAUUGUCUUCAUUGACUUUCUACCAAAUUAAAAUUUAGUGUGGGAUUGAAAAUUAAAAGUUCUUUGAAAUUCUAAUUCAUUCGAAAAUAUUUACUGAAUGCCUAAUGUGUGCUAGGCAUUGUUCUAGAACAGCGGUUCUCAACCUGUGGGUUGCAACCCCUUUGGGUGUCAAACGGCCCUUUCACAGGGGUCGCCUAAGACUAUCGGAAAAUACAUAUAUAAUUACAUAUUGUUUUUAUGAUUAAUCACUAUGCUUUAAUUAUGUUCAAUUUGUAACAAUGAAAAUACAUCCUGCAUAUCAGAUAUUUACAUUACGAUUCAUAACAGUAGCAAAAUUACAGUUAUGAAGUAGCAACGAAAAUAAUUUUAUGGUUGGGAGUCACCCCAACAUAAGGAACUGUAUUAAAGGGUCGCAGCAUUAGGAAGGUUGAGAACCACUGUUCUAGAUGCUAGAGACUCAACAGUAAACAAAAUAGACAAAUUCCUGUACUUUCGGAAUUUUACGUUCUUGUAGAUCUAAUCAUAUGUAAUUGGCUGCAUAUGCAUUCUGUGAUAAUGUAUGAUGAUUUCCAAGGAACCAUUAGCAACAUCUUAAAAUAUUUAUAUCAGAUUGAUUUGUAAUCAACUAUUCAUUAGCUUAUGUAUGGUUAUAAUGCAGGUUUUGCAAUAGGUUGGUAGUAAGAAGGAAAGAAACAUUUACUGAACAUUUACAAUUUGCUAGGUUCUCUAUUAAGAAUUUUGACAUACCUUAUUUAACUCUCACAGUAGGUUUGAAAGGCAGGUAGGUAUUAUUUCUGUUUUUUGUUUGCUUACAUAUAUGUAUAUUUUUUGUUUGUUUUAUUUUGUUGAUGUUGUUGUUAACCCUCACCAGAGGAUAUUUUUCCAUCAGUUUUUAGAGAGAGUAGAAGGGAGGGGGACCGACACAGAGAGAGAAACAUUGAUGUGAGAGAAAUACAUCGAUUGGUUGCCUCUCACACGAGCCCUGACCAGGGCCAGGGAUUGAGCCUCAACCGAGGUAUGUGCCUUGACCGGAAUUGAAUCCGGGACUCUUCAGUCCACGGACCAGCACUCUAUGCACUGAGCCAAAUCGGCUAGGGCUAUUUCUGUUUUUAUUAAUUAAAAAAUGGAGGCUCAGAGAUGUUAAGAAGCUUGCCCAGGAUCACAUAAUAAGUGGCAGACACUUAUUCAAACGUAAGUCCUUUUAAUUCUGUAGUGUUUCUUUCAUAAGCAUUGCUGUGAAGAAUGUGCCGUAGAUUAUUAGUUGUUUAGACAAAUUUUCCAGAAUGAUAUAUUUGCAAGUAUGGCAGAUAUGAUAUGUUUUUUUGUGUGCAUUAUUCAUUAUGCUGUACUUUAUACAUCAACAUAUCCAUAAGGAGUUUGUGGGUAAUGUGGGAGUCAGUUUAUUAGGCAAAAGGUCAUGAUAAUAUUCCAAAGUGACUUAAAGUGCUCUGUCACAAUAUUUAACAUGUACAAUUUAAAAUGGUACACAUAAAGAACCAAUAGUAGAUGUUAUUCUAGUUCAUUGUUACCAUGUUUCACUGAUUCUAAAAACUUUAUUUCCUCCCCACAUUUUAACAUUUUGGAAGUUAGGAUGCCUCUAAUAAUCAAUGUUAUGUUAUGGUAUAAUUGGCAAAAAAACUUUUCUUUAAAAUAGUACAUAUAUUCAUGGUAAGUCUUACAACUGAUGGUGUCUUAGAUUUGAUGAAAUAUAAUUAUUUACAUUUGGCAACACCCAAAAUAUGUAUGUGUAUUGUAUUUCCAAAAGGCUUCAUAAACCCUAUUUGAAUGAUCAGAUUAUUAAUUUGUGUUUUUAAUGGUUUAGACGUGUUAGAUAAAUGCUUAUACUCAAAAACUGCCUUUGCAACUUUAUUUUUACUUACUCUGCAUUAUAACUGUUUGGAUGUUUUUAGAAUAUCUAUUAAUAUGCCAGCAAAGUACAGGUAUAUUAGGUUAUUGUAUAUUUUGAGGAAUUGCAUAUUGUAUGCAUUUUGUGAUAAUAUAUAAUGGUUCCAAAGGAACCAUCAGAUUUUUUAAGUCAUUAACUCACUCCUUUCCCUUAAAUGUAUAUUGAGAUAAAUCACUAACUAUGAUUUCAAGAUUUCUUUUAGUAAUUAAUACUAAAAGCAGGCAGUCUACUAGUAAUUAUUAUAAAAUUGUAGCUCAACAUUUUACUAACAAAAAUAAGAUGAACAUGCCUACUUCUUUUGAGUUUUGUUCUUUAUCUAUGUCAGUGAUAGUCUGCUGAACUUUAUGAAUGAUGGGAAAUUUGUUACAAUGUAGAACAUAUGUGUCUUUGAUUUUCACAUGUUCUAACUGAUGUCAAAGGAGUUUUUGCGUUCACAGCCUGAAGGUAGUCCAUGGCACUUAAUAUUCAGGUACACUGGAAGUUCAGACUUAAGGUUGAGCAAAAUGAUGAAUUGUGCUUUUCGACAUGGUUUGCCUUUUGAAAACAGUUACGAUGAUGUUGUGUAAUAUUAGCUCUUAUAGAUUUCUUACAUAUUUUUAAAUUAUCCAAACCACAGAAAACAUGUUGUUUUCAUGUAUUAGUGUUUAGGUUAGGUAG